AUUGAACGCUGGCGGCAGGCCUAACACAUGCAAGUCGAGCGGAUGAAGGGAGCUUGCUCCUGGAUUCAGCGGCGGACGGGUGAGUAAUGCCUAGGAAUCUGCCUGGUAGUGGGGGAUAACGUCCGGAAACGGGCGCUAAUCCCGCAUACGUCCUGAGGGAGAAAGUGGGGGAUCUUCGGACCUCACGCUAUCAGAUGAGCCUAGGUCGGAUUAGCUAGUUGGUGGGGUAAAGGCCUACCAAGGCGACGAUCCGUAACUGGUCUGAGAGGAUGAUCAGUCACACUGGAACUGAGACACGGUCCAGACUCCUACGGGAGGCAGCAGUGGGGAAUAUUGGACAAUGGGCGCAAGCCUGAUCCAGCCAUGCCGCGUGUGUGAAGAAGGUCUUCGGAUUGUAAAGCACUUUAGGUUGGGAGGAAGGGCAGUAAGUUAAUACCUUGCUGUUUUGACGUUACCAACAGAAUAAGCACCGGCUAACUUCGUG
rnacentral:rRNA from 1 species